UAUGACCACACCACAUUGAAACACUGAUUCCUAUACAAUUACCAAAGUUAAGCAAUGUUGAGCCUGAUCAGUACUUGAAUGGGUGACUGGUUAGGAAUACCAGGUGCU